UCCUGGUUAGAUCAGUCAGUAGAGCACUCCACUGGAAAUGGAAAGGUUCCUUGUUCGAUACCAGGACCAGGCG
rfam:Ixodes scapularis strain Wikel colony gcontig_1108379473796, whole genome shotgun sequence.